rnacentral:lncRNA from 1 species
UAAUAUUGAUCCUUUGGUAGAUCCCUUAAAUCUUCUAGAUGACUACCAAGUUGUUCCGCCUCCUCCUCCUCCUCCUUCCCAAAACCCUUAGUUUUUCUCUAAAGUGUCUCCGCACGUGUGUAUGAUUUUUUAUUUCUAUCUAAGUGUAUGUGUGUGUGCCCUUUAUGUUUGUUUAUAGUUGCUGCAUUUCUAUUAUAGUUCUUUGUAUUUCUGUAUUGUUAAAUACUAGUUGUAUCUUCUCUACUUUUUUGGCUUAUCAAUGAAUACCUUUU